UUUGUCUUAGUAUAAAGUACGAAAACCUUUGAAGUUUUAAGAAAAAGUUAAAUCCUUUUAGACAUUU
rnacentral:tRNA from 1 species